AAGGCUAUACUUUCAGGGAUCAUUUCUAUAGUACGUUACUAGAGAAGCUUCUCUGAUCGUGUGGAGUACCAGAAACCACGAGCAGGAGGUGGCGUAGUGUUCCUUCCUGAGCAUGAGGCUGGCUCUUGGUGUUGCUUGAGUGCAACUGCCACUUGCCAUUGAUGAUCAUCCUUGCUGUCUCCUCAGAGUUAGCAAGAGAGGAGGAACACAGUUUGAGUGGC
ensembl:snoRNA U3 Small nucleolar RNA U3